GCAGUCAUGGCAGAGUGGUUAAGGCGGUGAACUAGAUAUUCAUUGGGGUCUCCCCGCACAGGUUUGAAUCCUGUCGACUGCG
rfam:Ixodes scapularis strain Wikel colony gcontig_1108378986774, whole genome shotgun sequence.